GUGUGUGCAUGGGUUGGCGGGGUGGCUGGGAGCUGAGGCCAGAGAACUGCUCCCCAGUCGACCGGCAGGGGCCCUGCAGCGGCUGCUGCGCGGCGCAGGGGGUGGUGGUGAGAGGGCAGGGUGAAGCGGUGGGGAGGUGGGCCUGGGGGAAGGAAGGGGACAGCGUGAGCGAGCAGAGCAGUCCAGGCCCAGGAGGAAGCUGCUCCUCCUCUGAGCACUCCGAUGCCCUCCUCUCCCUCCUUCCCGGUUUUUUGGGUCGGCCCCUUGGUUUCCUUCCUGGAGUUGUGGUGGGUUUCCGGGUGUCAGCAGCGCCCCUGAUUUUGUUGCCCUUUGGUGGCCCCGGGUCUCCCAGGUGUUGGCCGGGCUCCUACGGAGGCUGCCUGCGGCCUGCCCUGCCCCCACUGCUCAGUGUAGUCCUUUUCCUGGUUGGAGGCCCACGGCCGGCUAGAUUUCGACCUGGACCCUCUCAUCUGCCCUUCUCCACCGAGCAGGUGGAAGAGUGGUGGCGGGAAUGCGCCAGCUCUGACCUCCCUGCGGUGCGCGCUGCGGGGCUGGGAGCAACUGUGCUGGGUUCUGAGGCCCAUGCGGGUGCCUUCUUGGAGCCGCGCCAGCACCAGAAAUCGCCCGGGCUCGGAGUCCCAAUUAGAGGCGAUGGUAUCGUUUUACAUUCCUAGCAUCAGUGUACGAGGCCCAGUUCCUCCACAUCCUCGCCAACACGUGGUAUGGUCAGUCUUUUACAUUUUAAUUAUUUUAAUAGGUAUGUAGUGGUAUCAUUGAGAUUUUAAUUUGCAUUUCCCUAAUAACCAUUUACCGUUUGUAAA
rnacentral:lncRNA from 1 species